ACUCCUACGGGAGGCAGCAGUGGGGAAUAUUGCACAAUGGGGGAAACCCUGAUGCAGCCAUGCCGCGUGUGUGAAGAAGGCCUUCGGGUUGUAAAGCACUUUCAGUAGGGAGGAAGGUAGUGUAGUUAACACCUGCAUUAUUUGACGUUACCUACAGAAGAAGCACCGGCUAACUCCGUGCCAGCAGCCGCGGUAAUACGGAGGGUGCGAGCGUUAAUCGGAAUUACUGGGCGUAAAGCGCAUGCAGGUGGCCUGUUAAGUCAGAUGUGAAAGCCCGGGGCUUAAACCUCGGAAUUGCAUUUGAAACUGGCAAGGCUAGAGUCUUGUAGAGGGGGGUAGAAUUUCAGGUGUAGCGGUGAAAUGCGUAGAGAUCUGAAGGAAUACCAGUGGCGAAGGCGGCCCCCUGGACAAAGACUGACGCUCAGAUGCGAAAAGCGUGGGGAGCAAACAGGAUUAGAUACCCUGGUAGGAUAGCG
rnacentral:rRNA from 1 species